ACAUUAUUUAUCCUGUUCUCCAUCCCACUGGUCUUAUCUGUCCCCAUUAAGGACAACGUGGAGAACGUUUUAACCCAAGGUGUCAAAUUUUACCAAAAUUUGGGGAAUCAUGGAAACGCAAAACUAAUAACAAAAACUCGCACGGCCCGUCAGAGCAACUAUCCCUUCAUGCUUUAUGGAGGAUGCUACCCCCCUGGCCAGGCUGGUGGGUGGGCGUGGGGACGACCCCAACCCCCACGUUACCCUCUUUACAACCCAUUUGGAAACCAAAAUAGAGCCACGCCUCCGAUAGACGAUGACAUCGACGAGAUAGCUGAGGAUUUAGAUUAUAUCCUCCACCGCCAUACGUUUUUGGUCGAUUUUGAUGAGCCAGAAUGUCAAGUUUUGGGACGUUCAUGCACUUCGUCGUCAAAAAAAUAGUCGGUUUAGGAUAGCCUAUAUCUUACCCGUCUUAAGUUUAAUAUGUACUUAUGAUUAGGAUAAGGAAAUGGGAGAAGGGUGGUCUAAACAUCGGUUUUUUAAUGUCGUAAUUUAUGGACGUUCCCUUUUCCGCCAUGGGAACAAAUGCCCAGUGUUAUUUCGCAAAUUCUUUGUGAAGUAUCUCUACGAAUUGCUUACAUACCUAAUAUAUUUCUUAAAAAUAAAAUGUAAAGAAAACUCAAUUUCUUAAAGAAUAAAUUUCUCAAAAAAG